AAAAAACUUCAUACAGGCAUUCAAAAUGGAAGUACAGUCUAUUUACCAAAUUAAAUGUGAGUGAUUUUUAAAUUGUUCACACAACUGCUUCCCCCCUGUAGAUUCUUUUUAAUUACCUUAAAUAAAUGUGUACAUUUUGAGUAGGUAAAAAGGAGGAAAGAAGAGGUGGGUUGUGAAAUGAGCAGAAGUAGAGGCACCUAUUCUGAAAAUGUCUGGAACAUUUUUCAGAGGGAGAGGAGAUUAAAGCAGAAAAGGUUCCCAUGCUAGGUUAAACUGUAUUCUUUAUUUGCUUAGAUAUAUUUGGGAUGGGGGAAAAAUCUAUUCAUAUAUAACCAACAUUGAUACUUCUUCUGAAUUACAGUCUUUAUUUUUAAUUUUCAGAAGUAUGGAGAGAAAUGUCCGUACUGAUCAGAAAAUGAAUUUUAGUAUCUUGGAAAGUAGAGAAUGCGAGAGCAUCUACAAGGCAGCAGUGUGGAAUUUCCUGGUGGCACCUGCAGUUAUGAUCCUGGCUUUGAGAAUCCAUUAAUUCCUCUCUAUCUGCUUGGAUCGAUAGCAUAGGCAACUCUGGGCACCAUGGUUUUGUGCACAGCAGAGCCAUCUUCUUACUGAAAUGUACUAUAAAAAUCUGGGACAAUGUCAACAAGGAAAGUACCACUUAAUCUCUUUAUUGUCAAUGGAAAAUUGUUGUAUUUGUUAAUAAUGUCACAUCUCCUUCAGAUAUCCUAACAUUUAUAAAGAUCUUUCCAGUGGAUGAACACAGUUUCUCACCCUAAAAUUGUGAAGCCCUGAUUCUUGCUCAAGAUGACCAAUUAGUAGCAGAGAUAGAAUUCAAACUCAGAAAAAAAAAAAAAAAAAAAAAAAAGAAUUCAAACUCAGGACUUCAUGCUCCUUUACUAUCCCCACCCCCCUUCACUUAGGGAGCAUUGUAAAGUAAUUAAAGAGUGACAUUUUUCUACAAUACUUUUAAGCUUCCACACUGUUAUUUUGCUUCUACAGAAGUAUUACAGAAAAAAAAUCUUCUGCUUUGAUGUAAGGUACGAU
rnacentral:lncRNA from 12 species